CAGUGAUUUCAGCUCUUUUAGAAUUUGUCCAGUAGGUUUCCCGCGCCCGCGGGAAGCCGCU
ensembl:snRNA U7 U7 small nuclear RNA